AGCGAACGCUGGCGGCAGGCUUAACACAUGCAAGUCGAACGCCCCGCAAGGGGAGUGGCAGACGGGUGAGUAACACGUGGGAACGUACCCUUUGGUUCGGAAUAACUUGGGGAAACUCAAGCUAAUACCGGAUAAGCCCUUAUGGGGAAAGGUUUACUGCCGAAGGGUCGGCCCGCGUCUGAUUAGCUAGUUGGUGAGGUAAUGGCUCACCAAGGCGACGAUCAGUAGCUGGUCUGAGAGGAUGAUCAGCCAGACUGGGACUGAGACACGGCCCAGACUCCUACGGGAGGCAGCAGUAGGGAAUUUUCCACAAUGGGCGAAAGCCUGAUGGAGCAACGCCGCGUGCAGGAUGAAGGCCCUUGGGUCGUAAACUGCUUUUAUCUGUGACGAUUUUGACGGUAGCAGAUGAAUAAGGAUCGGCUAACUCCGUGCCAGCCGCCGCGGUAA
rnacentral:rRNA from 1 species